AUGGAUAACCAAUCCAUUUUCCAAUAUAGUUGGGAGAUUUUACCCAAGAAAUGGGUACAUAAAAUGAAAAGAUCGGAACAUGGGAAUAGAUCUUAUACCAAUACUGACUACCCAUUUCCAUUGUUGUGCUUUCUAAAAUGGCAUACCUAUACAAGGGUUCAAGUUUCGAUCGAUAUUUGCGGAGUGGAUCAUCCCUCUCGAAAACGCAGAUUUGAAGUUGUCCAUAAUUUACUGAGUACUCGGUAUAACUCACGCAUUCGUGUACAAACAAGUGCAGACGAAGUAACACGAAUAUCUCCGGUAGUCAGUCUAUUUCCAUCAGGCGGCCGGUGGGAGCGAGAAGUAUGGGAUAUGUCUGGUGUUUCUUCCAUCAAUCAUCCGGAUUUACGCCGUAUAUCAACAGAUUAUGGUUUCGAGGGUCAUCCAUUACGAAAAGACUUUCCUCUGAGUGGAUAUGUGGAAGUACGCUAUGAUGAUCCAGAGAAACGUGUGGUUUCUGAACCCAUUGAGAUGACCCAAGAAUUUCGCUAUUUCGAUUUUGCUAGUCCUUGGGAACAGCGUAGCGACGGAUAA
rnacentral:rRNA from 1 species